GGUACAACCACAAAGAACUUCGGUUAAGACUGUGGAAUUAUUAACAUCGUUAAUAAUUACGUAGUUCCGGUUCUAAAGAAUGCCGGGCUGAUCUGAGGAUCAAAUCAGAUACUCGCCCAUUUCAACUUUGGCCGUGGACGAGGCGAAAGCGGUGUAGUUUGUGUCUAAAUCGCGAGUUUGAAACCGGAAGAGUGAAUUAGGUUAUUCAAAUAAUUGUAACUAGAAAUACCCUCCAGUGCAUCCGUCAAACGAUAAAUAGGAGGAAGAGCCGUUUUCGACACCACGUCCAUCGUUGGAAUCCAGCCCCGAACGCUAUUGAAGGUGGCCGCGCAUCCCAUUCGUAAGCGCUACAACACUCGCGGAAAAGGAAAACCAGCCGCGGCUCGAAUACCAGAGUUCAUCGGCGGAUUCAUCGCCCACGUCUCCCAUGCACGCAAGAGCCGCCGGCUAUUCACGUAAUGCCUAGGUUGUGAGUACUCUUUUCGUUUCUUUCUAACACAUGCGCAUGUAGAGAAAUAAAUUUGAAAAGCCACACACGUAUUAACAA